GGUUCCGGAGCGGAACUGAUUAGAAGCUCCGCUCUCUAUGACGUUAGCGGCGGACGGGAGAGAAAGAGGGUGGGCAACCUGCCUGUAAGACUGGGAUAACUUCGGGAAACCGAAGCUAAUACCGGAUAGGAUCUUCUCCUUCAUGGGAGAUGAUUGAAAGAUGGUUUCGGCUAUCACUUACAGACGUCCCCAAAGGUGCAUUAGCUAGUUGGUGAGGUAACGGCUCACCAAGGCAACGAUGCAUAGCCGACCUGAGAGGGUGAUCGGCCACACUGGGACUGAGACACGGCCCAGACUCCUACGGGAGGCAGCAGUAGGGAAUCUUCCGCAAUGGACGAAAGUCUGACGGAGCAACGCCGCGUGAGUGAUGAAGGCUUUCGGGUCGUAAAACUCUGUUGUUAGGGAAGAACAAGUAUGAGAGUAACUGCUCGUACCUUGACGGUACCUAACCAGAAAGCCACGGUUAACUACGUGCCAGCAGCCCCCGUAAUACGUAGGUGGCAAGCGUUAUCCGGAAUUAUUGGGCGUAAAGCGCGCGCAGGCGGUUUCUUAAGUCUGAUGUGAAAGCCCACGGCUCAACCGAGGAGGGUCAUUGGAAACUG
rnacentral:rRNA from 1 species